rnacentral:rRNA from 1 species
UACGUAGGGGGCAAGCGUUGUCCGGAUUUAUUGGGCGUAAAGAGCGUGUAGGCGGCCUGACAGGUCUGCUGUGAAAACUCGAGGCUCAACCUCGAGAUGUCGGCGGAAACCGUCUGGCUAGAGUCCGGAAGAGGAGAGUGGAAUUCCUGGUGUAGCGGUGAAAUGCGCAGAUAUCAGGAAGAACACCUAUGGCGAAGGCAGCUCUCUGGGACGGUACUGACGCUGAGACGCGAAAGCGUGGGGAGCGAAUGGG